UCGACCAACACCCCCGGCACGGUCAUGUCGAAGG
rnacentral:scRNA from 1 species